rnacentral:rRNA from 1 species
CCCUGCCCUUUGUACACACCGCCCGUCGCUACUACCGAUUGAAUGGUUUAGUGAGAUCUUUGGACCGGGACGACUCAGCUGUCUGACAGCAGUGACGCACUGGGAAGCUGAUCAAACUUGAUCAUUUAGAGGAA